UACUAUAGCCAUGCCAUCCUGAAUGUGUCCAAUCUUGUCUGAUCUCGGAAGCUAAGCAGGAUCAGUCCUGGUUAGUACUUGGAUGGGAGACCACCUAAAAAUACCAGGUGCUAUAGACA
rnacentral:rRNA from 1 species